GAUUUACGGUUUGGGUUUAGGAUUUACCGUUUGGACUUAUGGUUAAAGUUUUGGGUUUAGGGUAUAUAAUUUGGGUUUAAGGUUUACGGUUUGGGUUUAGGGUUUAGGACUUGGGUUUAGGGUAUAGAGUUUAGGUUUAUAGUCUAGUUUUUGGGUUUAGAGUAUAUAAUUAGGGUUUAGGAUCUAUGAUUAGGGUUUAGGGUAUAGGAUUUGGGUUUAGGGGUUUGGAUUUGGGUUUAGAAUUUAGGGUAUAGGGUUUAGAAUUUAAGAUUUAGGGUUUAGGUGGAAGCGUUAACGUCGUUAAAAUUAGCGUUUUUAUUUUUGUAG
rnacentral:lncRNA from 1 species